AUUGAACGCUGGCGGCAGGCCUAACACAUGCAAGUCGAGCGAGCGGCGGACGGGUGAGUAAUGUAUGGGGAUCUGCCCGAUAGAGGGAGAUAACUACUGGAAACCGUGGCUAAUACCCCAUACUAUCGGAGUAAACCAUUUGGGAUUAGCUAGUAGGUGGGGUAAAUGUUCACCUAGGCGACGAUCUCUAGCUGGUCUGAGAGGAUGAUCCGCCACACUGGGACUGAGACACGGCCCAGACUCCAACGGGAGGCCGCAGUGGGGAAUAUUGCACAAUGGGCGCAAGCCUGAUGCAGCCAUGCCGAGUGUAUGAAGAAGGCCUUAGGGUUGUAAAGGACUUUCAGCGGGGAGGCGUUACCCGCAGAAGAAGCACCGGCUAACUCCGUGCCAGCAGCCGCGGUAAUAC
rnacentral:rRNA from 1 species